CCGGUGUUGAACAAUAAACCAACCAUUUUACUACCGUACGGCACUAACUAGGAUACUUCAGACAGAAGAAGACUGCCGUUUAAUUCAAACGACCCUCGAAUCAUAGUACCUGUAUGAUUUUUAAGGCAUAAGAGUGCGAUUUCCAGGCACUUCAAGAGGUCCAUAUUCUCAAAAUGUUUGCAUCUGAGCCUCAACUAUGGUGGGCCUGAGGUCUUGUGGACUCUCACGCACUCUUACCGCCAAAUCGUGCAUCCGCCCCAAUCAGUAGGCUAGAAUAUCGCAUAUGUUUUCAUUACAUUUGUUAAGACACCGCCCGAACACUGUAUUAUAAGGCUACACCAUACACUUGUUGUGGCCCUACUGCUCAGUGCAAGGCCCAGGUCCUUUUUCUUUUAGUGAAAAGUUGACGAUUAUAACGUGCCAAAAUACCGUACAUAAUGAAACUGUUAAGAGAAAAAAAAAAGAA